rnacentral:rRNA from 1 species
UGCCUACCCGUAGUGAAUACCAUAACUGAGUGUGUAACUCUCACCCCUCCUAUGUACAUCUUCAUAGUUGGUUUUUCGGACUCGCCCCAGCGUCCGGACGGCCCCGCGCCGGCCCGCGACCUGGACCCAGGCGGCCGCCGGAGGCCCUACAACCCUGUAUCCAUCAGUCUCUCUGAAUCCGCCGCAAGGCAAACAAAUGAAUCAAAACUUUCAACAACGGAUCUCUUGGUUCUGGCAUCGAUGAAGAACGCAGCGAAACGCGAUAAGUAAUGUGAAUUGCAGAAUUUAGUGAAUCAUCGAAUCUUUGAACGCACAUUGCGCCCGCCAGCAUUCUGGCGGGCAUGCCUGUUCGAGCGUCAUUUCAACCCUCGACGUCCCCCUGGGGACGUCGGCCUUGGGGACCGGCAGCACACCGCCGGCCCUGAAAUCGAGUGGCGGCCCGUCCGCGGCGACCUCUGCGCAGUACUCCAGCUCGCACCGGGAACCCGACGCGGCCACGCCGUAAAACACCCAACUCUGAACGUUGACCUCGGAUCAGGUAGGACUACCCGCUGAACUUAAGCAUAUCAAUAAGCCGGAGGAAUU